rnacentral:lncRNA from 10 species
AGACGGAGUCCCGCUCUGUCACGCAGGCUGCCAGGCUGGCGUACAGUGGCGCAAUCUCAGCUCGCUGCAACCUCCACCUCCUGGGUUCAAGCGAUUUUCUUGCCUCUGCCUCCUGAGUAGCUGGGAUUACUGGCACACACCACCAUGCACAGGUAAUUUUUUUAUAUUUUUUAAUAGAGACAGGGUGUUGGCCAGGCUGGUCUUGAAAUCCUGACUUCAGUGAUCUGCCCGUCUUGGCUUCCCGAAGUGCUGUGAUUACAGCCAUGAGCCACCGUGCCCGGCCAACUCUUCUCAGUUCUAAGUGUCCUAACACCCUUCAUCUCCUGCUGACUGCAAGGCAGUUCUCAGGGAGGAGCCUGGAUUGUGUCCAUGUAUAAAGAAAGACUCUGCUGCUGAUGUGCAAAGGAAUGUGGAUGUGAUAGUUUCCAGCCUGAAAGUCCCCCUCUUUUCAUCUCCGCAGUAUAGUUCUUAGAAACAACAAGCCUUGCUUUUACAGUGAGUCCAUAUCUAAAACUUUAUCUGAACCCAAAAUACCUGAGAUAGGUCUCAGUCAAUUUAGAGAGUUAAUUUUGCUAAGAUUAAGCAUGUAUCCAAGACAGCUUCAGGAGGUCUUGACAACGUGACAACAUGUGUCCAAGGUGGUUGGGGCACAACUUGGUUUUAUACAUUUUAGGGAGAUAUGAGACAUCAAUCAAUAUAUGUAAGAUGUACAUCAGUUUCGUCUGGAAAGAUGGGACAACAUGAAGCAGGGAGGGGGCUCCCUGGUGACAGUUGCAGGAAUUUAGCCAAUUCAGAGGUCUUGUUCUCCAUAAUUUGGAAUUUUCCUUCGGAUUUGAUCAAGUUGGAUAGAGUUGGUCAAACCCAAUGGGAAAAAGAUGAAAACAACAAGAAACAGAAACAAACAGCAACAACAACAACAACAAAAACAAUGCAUUUAAUUAAAUGAAGAUGAGCUCAUGCUGGAGUAGGGUGGACUCUGAACCCAGUGGGACAAGCGUCCUUAUUAAGAAGAGGGAAAUCUGGACACACACAGAGCAGAGACCGCCGUGUGAAGAUGGAGGCAGAGAUCGGAGAGAUGCUGCCACACGCCACAAAUGCCUGGGGCUCCCAGAAACUACACGGAGCCUCCCCCAGCGGCUUCAGCAGGAGCAUGGCUCGGCCAACACUUUGAUCUUGGUCUUCCAGCCUCCAGAACGGUGAGUCGAAGAAAUGCUGAGGCAGUGUCACGCUGGUGUCUGUCCUCCUUACAGAAUGCCUGAACAGUUCCAUUGACUCAAAGUGAAGAUCAAAAGAACCAAAUGACAGCAAUAGCCAAGUGUAAUCAUCAGUAACCCUGUGUUCUAUCCACAGUUAAAAGAAUAUUGGCAGAGAAACAGCCUUGGUGUUCCAGCAGGAGUGAAGAGGAACAGGAAAACGAGUGGCAGUAGCCCUGAAACAGCCACUUCUGGUGGUUGCCACUCACCUGAGGAUGUGAGUCUUGGCAGGCCAGGCUUCUGGGGACAGGGGGCCCAAGGCACAGUAGACGGUAAUUUUUAAGAUUAUGGAUGGACUGUUGGGUACUGGUUAAGAAUUCUGGGUUUGGCCAGGCACAGUGGCUCAUGCCUGUAAUCCCAGCACUUUGGGAGACUGAGGCCGGUGGAUCACGAGCUCAGGAAAUUGAGACCAUCCUGGCUAACACGGUGAAACCCUGUCUCUCCUAAAAAUACAAAAAAAUUAGCCAGGCUUGGUGAUGGGUGCCUGUAGUCCCAGCUACUCGGGAGGCUGAGGCAGGAGAAUGGUGUGAACCUGGGAGGCGGAGCUUGCAGUGAGUUGACAUUGUGCCACCACACUCCAGCCUGGGAGACAAAGCGAGACUCCAUCUCAGAAAAAAAAAAAAAAAGGAAUUCUGGGUUUGAAUCCUGCCUCUCCGUCUGCUAGGGAUAUGAUUUAGGGCAAGUUGCUUGAGCUCUUUGGGCCUCUCUUAUUACAUCUGCAUAAUAGAGGUGGUAUUGUUUGACUUCCAUUUGUGAAGUUUAAAUGAGAUUUUUUUAUUGUUGUUUUUAUGUUAAUCCCUAGUACAUGGCCUGCUGUAAACACCCAGGACACCCAGGAUAUGGUCAUUGCUCUUUGAUUUUCCUCAUCCCCAGUCUCAAGGGGAAGCCAGGACAAUGAGAACAGCCACUUGCCAUCAAGAGUCACUGAAAGGGCCUCAGGGUGGGAUGGUGGGGGGAUAAGAACCAUGAGAGAAGUCGGCACAAAGGAGUUAUGGGACAAAGCGUCCAAGAUAGGCAGAAAAGAAAAUGUAGCCAGUUGAUGGGGAAGAAAGGAAGUCAGAGGGCUUAGACACUGAGGGGGACAGAACAUCUCCAUGUGCAUUCUCAUCUCUGGUAGUCAGCAACAGGUAUCCACGGGGAGGGCCCUACAUCAUCUGCUACCCUGAAGGAUCUGGAGGUAAGAGGCUCUGGGGAGAGGUGCAGUGACC